rnacentral:sRNA from 1 species
CUCUCAACACAUCGCGACGGGAGGACACCACCAUGUAUCUGGAUGACGCCGUAAUCUUCGGGUUGGUCACCGUCGGCAUGAUGGUCGCAUUCAUGGGCGGCUGGGUCGGUUUCAUCAUUCACGACAGUCGUCGUAAGAGAAAGCACUGAGCCAGCCGUCUCUAGAGUCGUCAGGGGAGGGGGGAUAUCCCCCCAGUGGCCGACCCAAAUGGGUCGGCCUUUUUUAUU